rnacentral:rRNA from 4 species
UUGGCCGGGCGACGGUUGUCCCGGUUUAAGCGUGUAGGUGUGUGUUCCAGGUAAAUCCGGUUCACUUUAACACUGAGGCGUGACGACGAGGCACUACGGUGCUGAAGCAACAAAUGCCCUGCUUCCAGGAAAAGCCUCUAAGCAUCAGGUAACAUCAAAUCGUACCCCAAACCGACACAGGUGGUCAGGUAGAGAAUACCAAGGCGCUUGAGAGAACUCGGGUGAAGGAACUAGGCAAAAUGGUGCCGUAACUUCGGGAGAAGGCACGCUGACACGUAGGUGAAGUGAUUUACUCAUGGAGCUGAAGUCAGUCGAAGAUACCAGCUGGCUGCAACUGUUUAUUAAAAACACAGCACUGUGCAAACACGAAAGUGGACGUAUACGGUGUGACGCCUGCCCGGUGCCGGAAGGUUAAUUGAUGGGGUCAGCGCAAGCGAAGCUCCUGAUCGAAGCCCCGGUAAACGGCGGCCGUAACUAUAACGGUCCUAAGGUAGCGAAAUUCCUUGUCGGGUAAGUUCCGACCUGCACGAAUGGCGUAAUGAUGGCCAGGCUGUCUCCACCCGAGACUCAGUGAAAUUGAACUCGCUGUGAAGAUGCAGUGUACCCGCGGCAAGACGGAAAGACCCCGUGAACCUUUACUAUAGCUUGACACUGAACAUUGAGCCUUGAUGUGUAGGAUAGGUGGGAGGCUUUGAAGUGUGGACGCCAGUCUGCAUGGAGCCGACCUUGAAAUACCACCCUUUAAUGUUUGAUGUUCUAACGUGGACCCGUUACCCGGGUUGCGGACAGUGUCUGGUGGGUAGUUUGACUGGGGCGGUCUCCUCCUAAAGAGUAACGGAGGAGCACGAAGGUUGGCUAAUCCUGGUCGGACAUCAGGAGGUUAGUGCAAUGGCAUAAGCCAGCUUGACUGCGAGCGUGACGGCGCGAGCAGGUGCGAAAGCAGGUCAUAGUGAUCCGGUGGUUCUGAAUGGAAGGGCCAUCGCUCAACGGAUAAAAGGUACUCCGGGGAUAACAGGCUGAUACCGCCCAAGAGUUCAUAUCGACGGCGGUGUUUGGCACCUCGAUGUCGGCUCAUCACAUCCUGGGGCUGAAGUAGGUCCCAAGGGUAUGGCUGUUCGCCAUUUAAAGUGGUACGCGAGCUGGGUUUAGAACGUCGUGAGACAGUUCGGUCCCUAUCUGCCGUGGGCGCUGGAGAACUGAGGGGGGCUGCUCCUAGUACGAGAGGACCGGAGUGGACGCAUCACUGGUGUUCGGGUUGUCAUGCCAAUGGCACUGCCCGGUAGCUAAAUGCGGAAGAGAUAAGUGCUGAAAGCAUCUAAGCACGAAACUUGCCCCGAG